CCUACGGGAGACAGCAGUAGGGAAUGUUGCGCAAUGGGCGAAAGCCUGACGCAGCAACGCCGCGUGAUAGAGACGAACUUAGGGGUGUAAAGAUCUGUAAGUGGGGACGAAACGUGACGGUACCCACAGAGGAAGCACCGGCUAACGCCGUGCCAGCAGCCGCGGGAAUACGGGGGGUGCAAGCGUUGUCCGGAAUCAUUGGGCGUAAAGAGUUCGUAGGCGGAACGUAAAGUCUGGUGUUAAAGGCAGAGGCUCAACUUCUGUACGGCACUGGAUACUUGCGAGCUAGAAUGCGGUAGAGGUCACUGGAAUUCCUGGUGUAGCGGUUAACUGCUUCGAUAUCAGGCGGAACAUCGGUGGCGUACGCGCUUUACUGGGCCGUACUUGCCGCUGCGGCCCG
rnacentral:rRNA from 1 species